CCUACGGGGGGCAGCAGUGGGGAAUAUUGGACAAUGGGGGCAACCCUGAUCCAGCCAUGCCGCGUGUGUGAAGAAGGCCCUCGGGUUGUAAAGCACUUUCAGUGAGGAAGAACGCCUGGUGGUUAAUACCCAUCAGGAAAGACAUCACUCACAGAAGAAGCACCGGCUAACUCCGUGCCAGCAGCCGCGGUAAUACGGAGGGUGCGAGCGUUAAUCGGAAUUACUGGGCGUAAAGCGCGCGUAGGUGGCUUGAUAAGCCGGUUGUGAAAGCCCCGGGCUCAACCUGGGAACGGCAUCCGGAACUGUCAAGCUAGGGUGCAGGAGAGGAAGGUAGAAUUCCCGGUGUAGCGGUGAAAUGCGUAGAGAUCGGGAGGAAUACCAGUGGCGAAGGCGGCCUUCUGGACUGACACUGACACUGAGGUGCGAAAGCGUGGGUAGCAAACAGGAUUAGAUACCCUAGUAGUC
rnacentral:rRNA from 1 species